rnacentral:lncRNA from 1 species
AAUGUGGAGGCUAUAUACAGGGGGUGCCGGUACAGAGUCAAUGUGGAGGCAAUAUACAGGGUGUUACGGUACAGAGUCAAUGUGGAGGCUAUAUACAGGGGGUACCGGUACAGAGUCAAUGUGGAGGCUAUAUACAGGGGGUACCGGUACAGAGUCAAUGUGGAGGCUAUAUACAGGGGGUACCGGUACAGAGUCAAUGUGGAGGCUGUAUACAGGGGGUACCGGUACAGAGUCAAUGUGGAGGCUAUAUACAGGGGGUACCGGUACAGAGUCAAUGUGGAGGCUAUAUACAAGGUGUUACGGUACAGAGUCAAUGUGGAGGCUAUAUACAGGGGGUACCAGUACAGAGUUAAUGUGGAGGCUAUAUACAGGGGGUACCGGUACAGAGUCAAUAUGGAGGCUAUAUACAGGGGGGUACCGGUACAGAGUCAAUGUGGAGGCUAUAUACAGGGGGUACCAGUACAGAGUCAAUGUGGAGACUAUAUACAGGGGGUACCGGUACAGAGUCAAUGUGGAGGCUUUAUACAGGGGGUACCGGUACAGAGUCAAGGUGGAGGCUAUAUACAGGGGGAACCGGUACAGAGUCAAUGUGGAGGCUAUAUACAUUGGAUUCCGGUACAGAGUCAAUGUGGAGGCCAAAUACAGGGGGUACCGGUACAGAGUCAAUGUGGAGGCUAUAUACAGGGGAUACCGGUACAGAGUCAAUGUGGAGGCUAUAUACAGGGGGGUACCAGAACAGAGUCAAUGUGGAGGCUAUAUACAGGGGGAACCGGUACAGAGUCAAUGUGGAGGCUAUAUACAUUGGAUUCCGGUACAGAGUCAAUGUGGAGGCUAUAUACAGGGGGGUACCGAUACAGAGUCAAUGUGGAGGCUAUAUACAGGGGGGUACUGGUACAAAGUCAAUGUGGAGGCUAUAUACAGGGGGUACCGGUACAGAGUCAAUGUGGAGGCUAUAUACAUUGGAUUCCGGUACAGAGUCAAUUUGGAGGCUAUAUACAGGGGGGUACCGGUACAGAGUCAAUGUGGAG